rnacentral:rRNA from 1 species
UGAGGAAUAUUGCCCAAUGGGGGAAACCCUGAGGCAGCAACGCCGCGUGAACGAAGACGGCCUUCGGGUUGUAAAGUUCUUUUCUGGGGGACGAUAAUGACGGUACCCCAGGAAUAAGUUCCGGCUAACUACGUGCCAGCAGCCGCGGUAAAACGUAGGGGACAAGCGUUAUCCGGAUUUACUGGGCGUAAAGCGCACGUAGGCGGUAGGGUAAGUUGGCCGUGAAAGCUCCCGGCUUAACUGGGAGAGGUCGGACAAAACUGCCGGACUUGAGGCUGAGAGGAGAGCGGAAUUCCCGGUGUAGUGGUGGAAUGCGUAGAUAUCGGGAGGAACACCAGUGGCGAAGGCGGCUCUCUGGCUCAGAACUGACGCUGAGGGGCAAAAGCGUGGGGAGCGAACGG